UACGUAGGUGGCAAGCGUUUGUCCGGAUUUAUUGGGCGUAAAGCGCGCGCAGGCGGUCCUUUAAGUCUGAUGUGAAAUCUUGCGGCUCAACCGCAAGCGGUCAUUGGAAACUGGGGGACUUGAGUACAGAAGAGGAAAGCGGAAUUCCACGUGUAGCGGUGAAAUGCGUAGAGAUGUGGAGGAACACCAGUGGCGAAGGCGGGUCUCUGGACAGUUCCUGACGCUGAGGCACGAAGGCCAGGGGAGCAAACGGG
rnacentral:rRNA from 1 species